rnacentral:rRNA from 1 species
UACGUAAGUCCCAAGCGUUACCCGGAAUUAUUGGGUGUAAAGGGUCCGUAGGUGGGCGUGCAAGUCAGGUAUGAAAGACCGGAGCUCAACUCCGAGUUUGUGCUUGAAACUGCUCGUCUAGAAUCAGGGAGAGGUUAGCGGAAUUCUUAGUGUAGGGGUGCAAUCCGUAGAUACUAAGAAGAACACCAAAAGCGAAGGCAGCUAACUGGAACUCGAUUGACACUGAGGGACGAAAGCGUGGGGAGCGAAGAGG